rnacentral:rRNA from 1 species
AAACAUUCCGCCUGGGGAGUACGGUCGCAAGAUUAAAACUCAAAGGAAUAGACGGGGACCCGCACAAGUGGUGGAGCAUGUGGUUUAAUUCGAAGAUACGCGAAGAACCUUACCUAGCCUUGACAUAUUUAAGAAUCCGGCAGAGAUGCUGGAGUGCCUUCGGGAGCUUUCUUACAGGUGCUGCACGGCUGUCGUCAGCUCGUGUCGUGAGAUGUUGGGUUAAGUCCCGCAACGAGCGCAACCCUCGUCACUAGUUACUAACGGUUCGGCCGAGGACUCUAGUGAGACUGCCUUCGUAAGGAGGAGGAAGGUGAGGACGACGUCAAGUCAUCAUGGCCCUUACGGCUAGGGCAACACACGUGCUACAAUGGCCAGGACAGUGAGACGCAAUACCGCGAGGUGGAGCAAAUCUAUAAACCUGGUCUCAGUUCGGAUUGCUCUCUGCAACUCGAGAACAUGAAGCUGGAAUCACUAGUAAUCGUAGAUCAGCUAUGCUACGGUGAAUACGUUCCCGGGUCUUGUACUCACCGCCCGUCACACCAUGGGAGUUGAUUUCACCCGAAGCGGGGAAGCUAAACUGGCUACCCUCCACGGUGGAAUUAGCGACUGGGGUGAAGUCGUAACAAGGUA